rnacentral:lncRNA from 1 species
AUGACCUCUUGCCAUCUUUCCUCAUAAUCAGAACAUCACCAACACCUUCAGCUGCUAGAGUGUUGUCAUUUGCAAAUUUCACCAUGUUCUUCAUUGAGGAUUUUAUGUUGACAAACCAAUCUUUUCUUCUAGACAUGUGUGAUGAGCAUCAUGAGUCCAAGUACCACUGGUCCUUGAAUCUCUCCUUUUCUCUUGUUGUGAC